rnacentral:rRNA from 1 species
UUUACCCCCGCUCGUGUGAGAACAUACUAGCAUAUCAAUAAGCGGAGGAAAAGAAACCCAACAGGGAUUGCUUUAGUAACUGCGAGUGAAGCGGCAAAAGCUCAAAUUUGAAAUCUGACGUCUUUGGCGUUCGAAUUGUAAUUUGGAGGGGCAUUUUCGGAGCUGGCGUCGUCAUAAGUUCCUUGGAACAGGACGUCACAGAGGGUGAGAAUCCCGUGCCUGGAUGGCUGUCCAGCUCCAUGUGAGGUGUCUCCGACGAGUCGAGUUGUUUGGGAAUGCAGCUCAAAAUGGGUGGUAAAUUUCAUCUAAAGCUAAAUACUGGCGAGAGACCGAUAGCGCACAAGUAGAGUGAUCGAAAGAUGAAAAGCACUUUGAAAAGAGAGUUAAAAAGUACGUGAAAUUGUUGAAAGGGAAGCGCUUGAGACCAGACUCAACUUUCGGUGAUCAGCUGUGCUUUUGCGCGGUGCACUUGCCGGGGGUUGGGCCAGCAUCGGUUUUGACGGUGGGAUAAAGGUUCGAGGAAUGUGGCUCCCCGAUUCCGGGGAGUGUUAUAGCCCUGAGCGCAAUGCCACCUGUUGGGACCGAGGACCGCGCUUCCGCUAGGAUGCUGGCGCAAUGGUCUUAAGCGGCCCGUCUUGAAACACGGACCAAGGAGUCUAACAUCUAUGCGAGUGUUCGGGUGGAAAACCCUUGCGCGUAAUGAAAGUGAACGGAGGUGGGAACCCUUCGGGGUGCACCAUCGACCGAUCCUGAUGUUUUCGGAAGGAUUUGAGUAGGAGCAUAGCUGUUGGGACCCGAAAGAUGGUGAACUAUGCCUGAAUAGGGUGAAGCCAGAGGAAACUCUGGUGGAGGCUCGCAGCGGUUCUGACGUGCAAAUCGAUCGUCAAAUUUGGGUAUAGGGGCGAAAGACUAAUCGAAACCAUCUAGUAGCUGGGUUCCUGCCGAGUUAUUCUCCCUUCAGGAACCAAGAGACACAGACGUACCUAGGAAGUGGGUUUGCGCAAUUAAUUCUGUUUCGCCCCCCCUCUAUUAGCCCG